rnacentral:rRNA from 1 species
UGAGUAAUCUGCCCUUCACUUGGGGAUAAGCCUCGGAAACGAGGUCUAAUACCCGAUACGACCAGUCCUCGCAUGAGGUGCUGGUGGAAAGUUUUGUCGGUGGAGGAUGUGCUCGCGGCCUAUCAGCUUGUUGGUGGGGUAAUGGCCUACCAAGGCUUCGACGGGUAGCCGGCCUGAGAGGGUGAUCGGCCACACUGGGACUGAGACACGGCCCAGACUCCUACGGGA